UACGAAGGGUGCAAGCGUUACUCGGAAUUACUGGGCGUAAAGCGUGCGUAGGUGGUCUGUUAAGUCUGAUGUGAAAGCCCCGGGCUCAACCUGGGAAUGGCAUUGGAUACUGGCAGUCUAGAGUGCGGUAGAGGGUAGUGGAAUUCCCGGUGUAGCAGUGAAAUGCGUAGAUAUCGGGAGGAACAUCCGUGGCGAAGGCGACUACCUGGACCAGCACUGACACUGAGGCACGAAAGCGUGGGGAGCAAACAGG
rnacentral:rRNA from 1 species